GAUACCCCACUAUGCUUAGCCGUAAAAUAUUUAUUUACGCUNUUAACGCCUGAGAAUUACGAGCACAAGCUUAAAACUCAAAGGACUUGACGGUGUCCCAUCUACCUAGAGGAGCCUGUUCUAUAAUCGAUAUUCCCCGAUAUACCUCACCACUUUUUGCUCAUCAGCCUGUAUACUUCCGUCGUAAGCUUACCGUAUGAAUGUUAGUGAGCAAAAUGGUUAUUAUACCCAUACGUCAGGUCAAAGUGCAGCCAACAAAGUGGCAAGAAAUGGGCUACAGUCUCUAAUUUUUAGAGCAUACGGAAAACCAUUUGAAAAUUGGUCACGAAGGCGGAUUUAGCAGUAAGAAAAAAACAGAGCGUUUCUCUUAAUCAUACCCUGGGACGUGUAC
rnacentral:rRNA from 1 species